rnacentral:rRNA from 1 species
AGAGUUUGAUCCUGGCUCAGGAUGAACGCUAGCGGCAGGCUUAAUACAUGCAAGUCGUGGGGCAGCAUGACUGUAGCAAUACAGUUGAUGGCGACCGGCAGACGGGUGCGGAACACGUACACAACCUUCCUUUUAGUGGAGAAUAGCCCAGGGAAACUUGGAUUAAUACUCCGUAACAUAUAGAAGUGGCAUCACUUUUAUAUUAUAGCAGCAAUGCGCUAGAAGAUGGGUGUGCGGCUGAUUAGAUAGUUGGCGGGGUAACGGCCCACCAAGUCGACGAUCAGUAACUGGUGUGAGAGCACGACCAGUCACACGGGCACUGAGGCACGGGCCCGACUCCUACGGGAGGCAGCAGUAAGGAAUAUUGGUCAAUGGACGCCAGUCUGGACCAGCCAUGCCGCGUGGAGGAUGAAGGUCCUCUGGAUUGUAAACUUCUUAUAUUUGGGAAGAAAUCUAUCUU